rnacentral:tRNA from 2 species
UGGGGGAUCGUCUAAUGGUAGGACAGCGGCCUUUGAAGCCGUGAAUCCAGGUUCGAAUCCUGGUCCCCCAG